rnacentral:rRNA from 1 species
AGAGUUUGAUCCUGGUUCAGGAUGAACGCUAGCGGCAGGCUUAACACAUGCAAGUCGAGGGGCAGCAUAUCCAGCAAUGGGUGAUGGCGACCGGCGGAAGGGUGCGUAACGCGUGAGCAACAUGCCCGUAUCAGGGGGAUAAUCCAGGGAAACUUGGUCUAAUACCCCAUAGCAAUUGGGGGAGGCAUCUUUUUCAAUUUAAAGCUUAGGUGGAUACGGAUUGGCUCGCGUGACAUUAGCUGGAUGGUAGGGUAACGGCCUACCAUGGCAACGAUGUCUAGGGGUUCUGAGAGGAAGAUCCCCCACACUGGAACUGAGACACGGUCCAGACUCCUACGGGAGGCAGCAGUGAGGAAUAUUGGACAAUGGAUGGAAAUCUGAUCCAGCCAUGCCGCGUGCAGGAAGACGGCCCUAUGGGUUGUAAACUGCUUUUAUACGGGAGCAAUAAGGUCUACGCGUAGGCCGAUGAGAGUACCGUAGGAAUAAGCACCGGCUAACUCCGUGCCAGCAGCCGCGGUAAUUACGGAGGGUGCGAGCGUUAUCCGGAUUUAUUGGGUUUAAAGGGUGCGUAGGCGGUCUGUUAAGUCAGCGGUGAAAGUUUUCAGCUUAACUGGAAAAAUGCCGUUGAUACUGACAGGCUGGAAUAUGGUUGCCGUGGGUGGAAUGUGUGGUGUAGCGGUGAAAUGCUUAGAUAUCACACAGAAUAUCGAUUGCGAAGGCAGCUCACAAAGCCAUUAUUGACGCUGAUGCACGAAAGUGUGGGGAUCAAACAGGAUUAGAUACCCUGGUAGUCCACACCGUAAACGAUGAUAACUCGCUGUCGGCGAUACACAGUCGGUAGCCAAGCGAAAGCGAUAAGUUAUCCACCUGGGGAGUACGACCGCAAGGUUGAAACUCAAAGGAAUUGACGGGGGCCCGCACAAGCGGAGGAACAUGUGGUUUAAUUCGAUGAUACGCGAGGAACCUUACCCGGGCUCGAACGGUGCAGGAAUACAUCAGAGAUGGUGUAGCUAGCAAUAGCCUGUAUCGAGGUGCUGCAUGGUUGUCGUCAGCUCGUGCCGUGAGGUGUCGGCUUAAGUGCCAUAACGAGCGCAACCCUUGUCGUUAGUUGCCAUCAGGUAAAGCUGGGGACUCUAGCGAGACUGCCACCGUAAGGUGUGAGGAAGGGGGGGAUGACGUCAAAUCAGCACGGCCCUUACGUCCGGGGCGACACACGUGUUACAAUGGUAGGUACAGAGGGCAGCUACCCAGUGAUGGGAUGCGAAUCUCUAAAGCCUAUCUCAGUUCGGAUCGGAGUCUGCAACUCGACUCCGUGAAGUUGGAUUCGCUAGUAAUCGCGCAUCAGCCAUGGCGCGGUGAAUACGUUCCCGGGCCUUGUACACACCGCCCGUCAAGCCAUGGAAGCUGGGGGUGCCUGAAGUUCGUGACCCGCAAGGAGCGACC